UUCCCAUCCAUCUCCAUGUUUACUAAAUUUGAU
rnacentral:sRNA from 1 species